UCAUGAGACCGCAGCGCAGCGGAGUGGAGCAGCCGCGACACGAAGUUCCUUACCUUAGCUGGAUCUCGCUGGUGCCACCUAAACGGUAGGUAGGCGGCGGAUGUGUGACGUUUGGAGUUGUCGUUCGUGCACCUGUCCCCAAUGGAAGAAUGAGUGAUCUGUUCCCCUGCGGAUCAUGGCCUUACCACUCGGUCCCCGAUGGCCAGCGGGGGAAUAAAAGGUCGGUAGGCGGCGGAUGUAUGACGUUUGGAGUUGUCGUUCGUGCACCUGUCCCCAUUGGAGAUUUAUAAUUCUUCCGUUUUAUUGGAUGGAAUUUCAAUGAAUUAGAUCUAUAAGAACCACAAAGGUCUUGCUUUUGAGUCAAAAAUGAAUCAUUUAGAGCUCCG
rnacentral:lncRNA from 1 species